rfam:Camelus ferus unplaced genomic scaffold scaffold12719, whole genome shotgun sequence.
GGGGGUAUAGCUUAGAGGUAGAGUGCAUGCCUAGCAUGCACAAGGUCCUGGGUUCAAUUUUCAGCACCUCUA